GAGCUGUGCCGAGCAGAGCCGGCUCUCUACACUGCGCUUCCCUUCUUACUUUUGGAGUCUGCUCUUCCCCAGGGCCGCACGGUGCUAAAUUUCCAUUACUUCUCCAAUUACCCAAACCUGUCCAAAAUACACGCCGGUGGUAUUACAAACCAGCAUUGCAUUCCCUUAAUAACUGAGGCAGAACGUGACCCGGCGGCCCGAGCGCGGUGCCCGCGGCACAUCUGGGAACAUCUGCACCGCAUCCCACCCUGCAGGUGCCGGGCUUUGUGCUCUGCCAGAGCCCUUCCUUCCGUGAGAAGGCCCUGAGGUUAAAUGGCCCUAAAUUGGCUUACAGCCCCGCCAGUGCCGAUCACAAAAGGGAAAGCAGGCCAGAACAAGAUGCUUUACGAUCCCAGUUUCCAUCCUGUUCAUAUUUUCCAAGGCCGUUUUCUUGUUUUCCUGAUGCCAAAAAAUGCAUAUUGGGAAAGAGGAACAUAACUCACAUAGCAGAAAUCCGAAAUAAUCACUGCUGCUCACGGAGUGCAAUCCUGGCGCUGCCAGCCCACGCUGCGGUCCUGUGUUCCACAUGCUGAUGGAUCUGUGCCACCACCUCAGAGGUUUUGGGGCCAUCCGUCCAACACUGGGGGCUGUGCUGCUUGGAGAGAUGAAGUUGUGUGGAUCCCGGCAGAGUUUCAGAGGAAAUUCCGCAUCGUCGCCCCAGGGAGAACGGGAAAGAAAACGGGGAGGAAAAACCUUUUGGUGCGACGAUGGGGAAUAACGCGAGCGCUGCGCGCUGCUGGGCUGGGAGCGAAGCACAGAGGCCGGGCAGAAGAGCGGCUGGGAUGGGAUACCGGGUGGGCUGCAUCCAGAACGGGCCCGUACGCUGCAUGCGCUACGAGGGGGGCUGCAGGAAGCGCUGUUUGCGGGCUCCGGCCUCCAGGUGGCAGGCAGAGGCCGGGGUGCUUCUGGCCGUGCGUCCUCCGACGAAAGCCCGAGGUGGUAUCGAUGCGGGUAAAUAACCGGCACGGACAAACGGUGCCGGAUCCUUCAGAGCUUUACCCGGCUUUGCACCCUUUAUCCCCGUGCAUUUCAGUUCGCAGGUGAUGCCACCUGGGUGUUUUUUCUAUCUCCACGCCAGCAUUUUUCCUCUACUUCAGCGUUCCCAGAGGUGCAUUCCUUGUUGCCAUCCCACGGCACCUAUCGCGGCUCCCAUCCUCCUCAACAGACCGUGCACCGACCUGCAGCACCACGCUGAGAUAAGGAGAGGGCUCUGGGAUGAAUAAGCUGAGAACAGGGAGCCCCAUUGCUGCCCCUUAAGGCACCUUCCUUCGGUACCAGGAUCUCAGCAUAAGGAGGUGGGGCUGCCAGGCAGGAGGUGCCCCUGCGAAGCACCACUGGGACAGAACCAGCUCACCUUUCCAGGAUCACUUCCCAGGGAAGCAAAUUGCACACGAAAAGUAUUUGAUUCGAGUUCAUAGCCAAGAAAAAAAAAAAAGAAAUCACAGAACAAACAUCUCCCCUGCUUGAAGGGCCCUCUUCAAGUGUCAGAAACGAAACAGAGCAGGAUGAUUAACACUGGCAUCCUGGUGCCCCACUGCUGAGCUCAGAUAGAUGAGACCCCAUUCCUCCCCCAGGUCACCUCUGUGUUUUUGGGGUUGGCCUUGGGACAGGGCCAUCGGCCAAGACAGAGAUGGUUCAUUCCCUCAGGGAGAUGCAGUGCUGUACCAUUUGUUAUUAGUAACACCCGUCUCAUUCUCAGUGCUGUUUGGGCACUGUGUGCCACGGAGCAGAUGGGGCUCAUUUGAAGCCCUCCAGAUCACAGGGGUCCAUGUGCAACUGAUAAAGGCCCACUGGGGGGGAGGGAAGGG
ensembl:lncRNA